rnacentral:rRNA from 1 species
GAUGAACGCUGGCGGCGUGCCUAAUACAUGCAAGUCGAGCGAACGGACGAGAAGCUUGCUUCUCUGAUGUUAGCGGCGGACGGGUGAGUAACACGUGGAUAACCUACCUAUAAGACUGGGAUAACUUCGGGAAACCGGAGCUAAUACCGGAUAAUAUUUUGAACCGCAUGGUUCAAAAGUGAAAGACGGUCUUGCUGUCACUUAUAGAUGGAUCCGCGCUGCAUUAGCUAGUUGGUAAGGUAACGGCUUACCAAGGCAACGAUGCAUAGCCGACCUGAGAGGGUGAUCGGCCACACUGGAACUGAGACACGGUCCAGACUCCUACGGGAGGCAGCAGUAGGGAAUCUUCCGCAAUGGGCGAAAGCCUGACGGAGCAACGCCGCGUGAGUGAUGAAGGUCUUCGGAUCGUAAAACUCUGUUAUUAGGGAAGAACAUAUGUGUAAGUAACUGUGCACAUCUUGACGGUACCUAAUCAGAAAGCCACGGCUAACUACGUGCCAGCAGCCGCGGUAAUACGUAGGUGGCAAGCGUUAUCCGGAAUUAUUGGGCGUAAAGCGCGCGUAGGCGGUUUUUUAAGUCUGAUGUGAAAGCCCACGGCUCAACCGUGGAGGGUCAUUGGAAACUGGAAAACUUGAGUGCAGAAGAGGAAAGUGGAAUUCCAUGUGUAGCGGUGAAAUGCGCAGAGAUAUGGAGGAACACCAGUGGCGAAGGCGACUUUCUGGUCUGUAACUGACGCUGAUGUGCGAAAGCGUGGGGAUCAAACAGGAUUAGAUACCCUGGUAGUCCACGCCGUAAACGAUGAGUGCUAAGUGUUAGGGGGUUUCCGCCCCUUAGUGCUGCAGCUAACGCAUUAAGCACUCCGCCUGGGGAGUACGACCGCAAGGUUGAAACUCAAAGGAAUUGACGGGGACCCGCACAAGCGGUGGAGCAUGUGGUUUAAUUCGAAGCAACGCGAAGAACCUUACCAAAUCUUGACAUCCUUUGACAACUCUAGAGAUAGAGCUUUCCCCUUCGGGGGACAAAGUGACAGGUGGUGCAUGGUUGUCGUCAGCUCGUGUCGUGAGAUGUUGGGUUAAGUCCCGCAACGAGCGCAACCCUUAAGCUUAGUUGCCAUCAUUAAGUUGGGCACUCUAAGUUGACUGCCGGUGACAAACCGGAGGAAGGUGGGGAUGACGUCAAAUCAUCAUGCCCCUUAUGAUUUGGGCUACACACGUGCUACAAUGGACAAUACAAAGGGCAGCGAAACCGCGAGGUCAAGCAAAUCCCAUAAAGUUGUUCUCAGUUCGGAUUGUAGUCUGCAACUCGACUACAUGAAGCUGGAAUCGCUAGUAAUCGUAGAUCAGCGUGCUACGGUGAAUACGUUCCCGGGUCU